rnacentral:rRNA from 1 species
AACGAACGCUGGCGGCAUGCCUAACACAUGCAAGUCGAACGAGACCUUCGGGUCUAGUGGCGCACGGGUGCGUAACGCGUGGGAACCUGCCCUUAGGUUCGGAAUAACUCCCCGAAAGGGGUGCUAAUACCGGAUAAUGUCUUCGGACCAAAGAUUUAUCGCCUUUGGAUGGGCCCGCGUUGGCUUAGCUAGUUGGUAGGGUAAAAGCCUACCAAGGCGACGAUCCAUAGCUGGUCUGAGAGGAUGAUCAGCCACACUGGGACUGAGACACGGCCCAGACUCCUACGGGAGGCAGCAGUAGGGAAUAUUGGACGAUGGGCGAAAGCCGGAUCCAGCAAUGCCGCGUGAGUGAUGAAGGCCUUAGGGUUGUAAAGCUCUUUUACCCGGAAGGAUAAUGACAGUACCGGGAGAAUAAGCUCCGGCUAACUCCGUG